UAGCGUCAGAUUCCAGACGAAGUAUUAAGAGGAAGAUGAACUGGAGGUAAACUCAACAUUGACAUUGAAUGAACUCUUCCCACCUUAAUAGGUUAUGUGUAAGGGCCUACAGUAGAGCAGGCAGUGAGCUGUGGACAACUUAGCCAUUAGUCUGAUUACAUAGAAUGAUCGAUAAGAAAGCUCAACUAUUAACAAAUACACACUCUGUGCGCGCCGAAAACACCUUUUUUGCAGUACAGUCGGAUGAUGGUAAGUCAUCCGACUAGUAGGGGAGGACACUGACACUGGAUACUCGUGGCAUAUCCAUAAAACUCCCUCUAACACUGUCCCAGGCCAGUUUCGUACUUCCUGUAGCGAGAACUCAAGACAAACGAACAUUUUUCUCUCAGAAGCACGAAACAACUGAGAGCACAGAUGAAAAAACUAAAUUUUGGUUCAUAAAGUUAUACGGUGAGCGGCAAUGAAAAAAAAACGUAUAUAACAUAACUACAGUGCCAGACUGUCACAGCUCCCGACAUUAUUCACACAUAAAAAUGACAACCACUAAAAGUGUUACUUGUAUUUUGGAUGAAGAAUUUAAUUUUAUCACAGUGAACUCAUGAGACGUUUAGGUUCAAAAAUGUAUCCUUUGUUUCGCGUUUGUUGAGGAAAGGACGGCGAGAUGAUGAUAUUUGUCGCUGUGCAGGGAAUCAGCUGGAAGUGGUGUUCAAACCGAAGCCCUGGAAAUGUAUCCCGACCUCCCUCCGCUUGACGGACCCUGACAGCCACGUGCCCCAGUGGGGGAACUCCCGCCGCUGUGCCGUCUGCUCCACCAAAGCCCUCCCGAAGAGAUCGAGGUUCUACUGCGUCGUCUGCAACGUCGGCCUACAUCCCGAGUGUUUCGCUCUCUUCCACAGUUGAUCAACCUCUUUCUGUCCUGUUUUUCUAUUGUGUAUUUUUUCUAAAGCUAAACUCUUGUUUGUCCUUUCGCAUACGAUGGGGUAGAUGGGUAGGCAGUUGUGUCACAGGUUAUUCCGUUUCAGUAUUGAACUACGAUAUCUUUCUCUAAUCUAGUCAUAAAUAAGUUUAUAACUUUAUAAUUAUAAAGAUUUGUCGCAUGUUAAUACUUAAAAUUAAAUUUUAUCUAUCAAUAUAAAAAAUUUUACAUAGCUAAAUUAAAUUUCCAUUUUGUUUUAAUAGAUAGUUUUUUUUACACUUGUGUUCCAAAAACGUUACAUUCUCGACGAGUGUAUCAAUACAGAGAAAUUGAAAGUGUGGUCCUUCUGUUCAGAUCUGCAUUCUUCCCGUAUUAGAACGAUCAUCCUUUCCAUAUGUUGUAGAUGACAAAUUUGUACUAUUAAUUAAUUUUCGCGCCAAAAUUUGGAACGCUAUUGAAUGUUAAUAUUAUUUGGAAUUACAUUGUUUGUAAAAUUGGUUUUGAAACACUUAUCGUUGGCGCCACUUAGCCCAAUGAAUGCCUAAGUUUUUAGGUAGAUUUUGAUACAAAAUCAGCCUUUUGCAAUUGUCUCCAAGGUAGGAUUGGAAAAAAUGUCUACAUAACUCCACCGAACACGACUCCAGAACCUAAAACCAUCCCCCCUUCAAAGAUUUACGAGCUACGUUUGCCAUAUAGAUAUUUCAAUAAAUUCGUAUUUCAGUUGUCACAAAAUUUACGUACUUCUUUCGACUGAGCCGGAAGGACUAUAUAUUAUAUUGAAAUAAAAUAAUUACGUUUCCAGUAGGAAAUAUCUGAAUCAUCAGCCUGGACAUGGACUUCCUUAAAAUUGUAGGGAGACGUUUUCUAAUAUGUGGAGAGUGAGGAGGUAAAAUGCGUUGGACCUUUUAUUUAAAGUUUUGAUCUUCUACCAUACACUGUGUAUUACUAAAACGUUUGUUCAAUAAAUCGUGCAGUGAAAAUAUACAACGUUACAUAUAUCUCUUUCGUAAUUAUUUUUACGUAUCCUAAAUUUAACUUUGGUUUAUCAUUUGUGUUUGAUGUCCUGUGGGUUGUGUUGUGUGACUUGGGCAAUAGGUUUUAUGUUGUGUUUUGUCCUCUGUGUGCUAUUGGGAGGUUUUUCAAACUCGUAAGGGAUACUAUUUGUGUAGAGUUCUACUUUUAUGUUUCACGUAGCCUCAAAUGGGAAUUUUGUGUGCACUUCAUACGUUUCUACUUUAUGUACAUAAUUUUACUGUUUCAUUGUUUCUUAUUCAUGUGCCUUUUUUGUUUUUCAAUUUGGGGCAUUCACAAUGGAGGUUUGCAAUUUUCCUUUAAAUUCACAUGUUUUUUGAAACUGUGAAAUGUAGAUAACGUGGUGCUGUUUCAGGCAAGCCCAUAUUCACUUGCCCGAACUGCCACCGCAGCUACAAGCACAAGACUUCGCUGACACGUCACCUGCGCUACGACGGCUGCGGCUCCGCCCUGGGCUGGAACCUCUUCACCUGCGAGAUUUGCGACUUCCAGACAACGAACAAGGCCGCCCUCACCAUGCACUGUUUCCACAAGCACAUCUAGGCCUGCAGGAGUAAACGUGCUGUGUGCUGACAUAAAUACGUGGUUAUCCAUGCACUAAACAGCUGGCCGCUGUUCGCCUGCGGGACGUGCGGGCGAGCUUACCGCUAUAAGACACACUUGUACCGACACAGGCGCUACGAGUGCGGCAAAGCUCCUCAGUUCCACUGUCAAUUGUGCCCCUACCGCGCUAAGAGAAAAGAACACCUGCAGGCCCACACUCUUAACAAGCACGCCGGCCAAGUAUGACGUAUCUGGUGACGUCAUUCCUAUUGCUCAUCGUUCUGCCAUCGCGCUAUUCUUGUGUAUCAACGGUUCUGUGAUAAUCCCUAUAUUUGUUACAACAUGUUGUCUAGCAUUUCAGUAAAGUGAAUUUAGUUGGUAAAGUGGUUUAUAAAUUUUACUAAUUCGUUGUCGUGUUAAAUUAUCUAGUAAAGUAAUUAUACAUUGUUGUCGUAUUGGAACACUGAAAGUGAUCUACUCGACAAGAAAAUGGAAUUUUAAUUCGUCUACCUAAAAGGUGUAAAAUUGUAAAUAUAUUUAUAAUAAUAUAUUAAUAAUCACGUUUAACGUGUAUUUUAAAAUGUUGUUCUGUUUUUAACUAUUGACAUUAUGUAGACUUUAUUUUUCAUUUAGUGUUACUCACUUGGAGUUAAUUUAAUGUUACUUACAUUAGUUCUAUGUAAAAGAAAACUCUAUUUCAAAUGUGUUUUAACUUGAUGUUUUCAAAUUUGUCAUUUUAAGUACUAUUUAUACAGGAGUGUUCUAAGUUGUUAUCACUCAUGUUAGAGACGCAGUUGUCUCAGCACAAUAGUAACAAAUGCUGCCUGUGCCAAUAAACACAUGUAUUUUA